rnacentral:misc_RNA from 1 species
GAUGAAGAACGUAGUGAAAUGCGAUACUUGGUGUGAAUUGCAGAAUCCCGUGAACCAUCGAGUCUUUGAACGCAAGUUGCGCCCGAAGCCAUCAGGUUGAGGGCACGUCUGCCUGGGCGUCACAUAUCGUUGCCCAAUGCCUAUUGCAGUGCAAUAGGAAUUUCUAGGGCGAAUGAUGGCUUCCCGUGAGCGUUGUUGCCUCGCGGUUGGUUGAAAAUCGAGCCCUUGGUAGGGUGUGCCAUGGUAGAUGGUGGUCGAGUUAGAACGAUACCGAUCAUGUGCAUGCUCCCCAAAAUAUGGCCUCUAUGACCCACACGCGUCUUUUGACGCUCAUGACGAGACCUCAGGUCAGGCGGGGCUACCCGCUGAAUUUAAGCAUAUCAAUAAGCGGAGGA